CUACGUGCCAGCAGCCGCGGUAAUACGUAGGUGGCAAGCGUUGUCCGGAAUUAUUGGGCGUAAAGCGCGCGCAGGCGGAUAGGUCAGUCUGUCUUAAAAGUUCGGGGCUUAACCCCGUGAUGGGAUGGAAACUGCCAAUCUAGAGUAUCGGAGAGGAAAGUGGAAUUCCUAGUGUAGCGGUGAAAUGCGUAGAUAUUAGGAAGAACACCAGUGGCGAAGGCGACUUUCUGGACGAAAACUGACGCUGAGGCGCGAAAGCCAGGGGAGCGAACGGGAUUAGAUACCCCGGUAGUCCUGGCCGUAAACGAUGGGUACUAGGUGUAGGAGGUAUCGACCCCUUCUGUGCCGGAGUUAACGCAAUAAGUACCCCGCCUGGGGAGUACGACCGCAAGGUUGAAACUCAAAGGAAUUGACGGGGGCCCGCACAAGCGGUGGAGUAUGUGGUUUAAUUCGACGCAACGCGAAGAACCUUACCAGGUCUU
rnacentral:rRNA from 1 species